rnacentral:rRNA from 1 species
GACGAACCGAGCGAACGUUGUUCGGAAUCACUGGGCUUAAAGGGUGCGUAGGCGGGCUGCCAAGUUUGAGGUGAAAUCCUCCGGCUCAACCGGGGAAGUGCCUUGAAUACUGGCGGUCUGGAGGGAGGCAGGGGCGUGCGGAACUAACGGUGGAGCGGUGAAAUGCGUAGAUAUCAGGAGGAACACCUGUGGUGUAGACAGCUUGCUGGACCAUAACUGACGCUGAGGCACGAAAGCGUGGGUAGCAAACAGG